AUUAUGAAUGGAAGUGCGUUGGGUUCGAGGGCAACACUACCCCCGAAAUUUUCAACAGGAUUUGUUUAUUAGCAAAAAAUCACUCUUCUUUUUGGUUGGAUUGUGUGCGUCCUUCAACCUCUCUGACCAGUGGCUUAAACUUUUUUCGUUUUUUUAUCCCGAUAACUAAAGAUUUCGAUCUGCUUAUUUCCCUCAAAUCCUCAAUGGUCACUCGCAAAAGUGAAUCUCUUUUUGAUAAGCCGAAAGUCUUUAAAAACUUGGAAGUGCUCCACUCUUCUAAAGUGAAUAAGUUUUCAAAGGUGAAUUAUGAUCCAGUGAAGAGCUACUUUCAAAGUUUAGUGGAAGAGUUCUCUUCUGUAGCAUUUUUUUUUACGACCAACAUGGAGGCUCUAAAAUAUAUGUUUUAUGGAAACCUUUAGCUUUUCACCCUAAGCAGUUCACUUUUUCUACAGCAAAAGCAUUGAAUAUUUCCGUUUCUAUAAUGGCCGAAAAAUCCGAUAAGAAAGCAAAAGACUGCUUGCAAAUGCUACCAAAUAUUGUUUAUAUUCUUUCUUAUAU